UACAGAGGGGGCAAGCGUUGUUCGGAAUUACUGGGCGUAAAGGGCGCGUAGGCGGCCUUCUAAGUCGAACGUGAAAUCCCUGGGCUCAACCCAGGAACUGCGUCCGAUACUGGAAGGCUUGAAUCCGGAAGAGGGAUGCGGAAUUCCAGGUGUAGCGGUGAAAUGCGUAGAUAUCUGGAGGAACACCGGUGGCGAAGGCGGCAUCCUGGACCGGCAUUGACGCUGAGGCGCGAAAGCCAGGGGAGCAAACGGG
rnacentral:rRNA from 1 species